rnacentral:rRNA from 1 species
UACGGAGGAUCCAAGCGUUAUCCGGAUUUAUUGGGUUUAAAGGGUGCGUAGGUGGUUCUUUAAGUCAGGGGUGAAAGACGGUAGCUUAACUAUCGCAGUGCCUUUGAUACUGAAGAACUUGAAUACACUAGAGGUAGGCGGAAUGUGACAAGUAGCGGUGAAAUGCAUAGAUAUGUCACAGAACACCGAUUGCGAAGGCAGCUUGCUACACGAUCAUUGACACUGAGGCACGAAAGCGUGGGGAUCAAACAGG